rnacentral:rRNA from 1 species
AACGAACGCUGGCGGCAUGCCUAACACAUGCAAGUCGAACGAGAUCCUUCGGGAUCUAGUGGCGCACGGGUGCGUAACGCGUGGGAAUCUGCCCUUAGGUUCGGAAUAACAGUUAGAAAUGACUGCUAAUACCGGAUGAUGACGUUAAGUCCAAAGAUUUAUCGCCUGAGGAUGAGCCCGCGUAGGAUUAGCUAGUUGGUGUGGUAAAGGCGCACCAAGGCGACGAUCCUUAGCUGGUCUGAGAGGAUGAUCAGCCACACUGGGACUGAGACACGGCCCAGACUCCUACGGGAGGCAGCAGUGGGGAAUAUUGGACAAUGGGCGCAAGCCUGAUCCAGCAAUGCCGCGUGAGUGAUGAAGGCCUUAGGGUUGUAAAGCUCUUUUACCCGAGAUGAUAAUGACAGUAUCGGGAGAAUAAGCCCCGGCUAACUCCGUG